UGAGGAAUUUUUGGCAAUGAGCGAAAGCUUGACCAAGCAAUACCGCGUGAAGGAUGAAGGCUUUUGGGUUGUAAACUUCUUUCAUUGAUGAAGAAUUUUGUGACUUAAGUCAAAGAAGAAGCACCGGCUAAUUACGUGCCAGCAGCCGCGGUAAUACGUAAGGUGCAAGCGUUGUACGGAUUUAUUGGGCGUAAAGCGUCUGUAGAUGGUAAUUUAAGUUUAAGGUUAAAUAUCUAUGCUUAACGUAGUAAAAGCUUUGAAAACUGAUUUACUUGAGUAUAAUAGAGGUAGAGGGAAUUUUCAGUGUAGCGGUGAAAUGCGUAGAUAUUGAAAAGAACACCAAUGGCGAAAGCACUCUGCUGGGUUAUUACUGACAUUGAGAGACGAAAGCUGGGGGAGC
rnacentral:rRNA from 1 species